UAAUUUCACCAAUAGUUUCUUUUCCUUCCUUCCUCCUCCUAUUCUUCUUCCUCCUCCUCCUCUUCUCUUAUUCUUUUAAUAAGAGCAUUCCAAGAGCUAGCUACUCAGGGAAUGUUCAGCUGUCUAAUGAUGCUGUCUAUGUCUAUGUCAAUGAUGCUGGGUUCUGUCUUCCAUUCUUGAGAAGGGCACAUUUGUUUUCACACUUGCUGCCCCAUGGCCCCAUUAUGAUCGCCACACCUCCAUGUACCAGGUUCUCCUCCAGGGUAUAAAGAAAAAGGAAAAUCAAGGGAGCGAAUGGCCUUGUCAUCAAGCCCCUUUGCUGUGUCGGGAAGACAAAAGCUUUCCUUAUAGCCGACACAGAUUUUUUUUGCUUGCGUUUCCAUAAGCCAGAAACAAGUUGUAUGGCCAUUCCUAAACAAGUUAUUAGUGAACAGAAAAGUGUUACCAAGAUUCACACCCAGGGCUCAGUGAUGGCCGCCUUUGUGGUGAGAGAAAAAAACAAAUAGGAGAAUAAAACAGAAAGGACUAAACAGGGAAGAACAGGGUGGAGUUCAUGAGAAGGAGCUCACCAGGAAGAAGAUUUCACCAUGGACUUAGUGGAAGAUGGGAUCAUUUCACCUCAGAAGGAUACUUUUGUUGGCUGAUACCCAUUCCGCUGGCCCCAAAGAGUAGCUAACCAGGCCUAGGGAGCUCACGAUGUUCCACAGUGAGAAGAGAAAUGUGCAGUGUGAAUCUAUGGCGCCUGGAAUUGGGGUAGCCAUGUUGCCUCCAUGAGGGAUCCAGGUUGGAGAUCUAGACUGAGAACCUGUGCUCAGAUGAAGGGACAGAAUUGGAGCCAAGAUCUUGAUUUCAAUGUAACUGUGGCACACGUGACUUCUAGACUUUUUUCAGUUACAAAUGUUAGCUAACAUGUUCUCAGGGUUGUGCAAAUGAGCUUAUUGAGCAACCAGAAGAAUGGUAACCGACAGAGAUGCAAACGGGAAGUCACCAAAAAGGGCUGCAUAGGGGUGAUAUAGUUUUGAAAAACUGCGUUGGGCCAAAUUUGACCAACACAUUCUGGCUUGAGUUGAUUGGACCUGCUGGUGUGCACUGUGGUACCCUGAUGUGAUGCUUCCAGCAGUGAGAAGGCUCUCAUCAUGGGAUACACUGUUGCCCAGCCUGACCCUUUUCUGUGAGCUUUAGGCCUGCACCAAGGUCAGACCUAGAAUUCUCAUGGACAGAGGCCUGCGGAGACAUAGGGGGAGGGGCAGUGUGCGGAGGCAUGGGGGGAGGGGCAGUGUUUUGGUUCCUCAAAUGCUCCCCCAAUGGCUGCGGGGCUUCCUCCUGUGGGAGAGGCCUUGUGUCAACAGGCAAGGUUGGCAGCUGAUCAGAAGUAGACAAGAAAGAAAUUCCAGGAAGCUCCAGAGAGCCUGGGCAGCUUUGGCAUGAAGAGCGUUGAUACCCCUGUGACAGAGGAUAAGACUAAAGCUUCAGGAGGUGGGACAAGGUGCCUGGGUCACACAGAUGAAUCUGUCCUACAAGCAUCAUGACCAUGAUCUGAGCUGUGGAUAACUCUGGAAGGAUGUGGAAGGAGAGACGACAGUGAAGUUGGAGUAUUUAUUCCUAGUCUACUGAUACAGGGUCAUUUUGGGAUCGCCAAGCCCUCCACCGAAACCCCAGCUCUGUUGGGAGUCCUCAUCUAUCUGCAGCCGCCGACGGACUUCUCUUUCCUCUUACUGUGAACUGAGGGUCCUGAUGAGUGCUUUGUGGUCCCCUGUAGUCUUGUCUUCCUUUGUGAGUAAUCCCUCUACUAAACCCUAAUCAAAUUGCCUGACUCAGGGCGGGCUGCUCCGGCGGUGCUUUGACUACCGCUGCCAUGAGCCACAAGGCUGGGUUUGAAUUCUGAUCAGGUCUCUCCCCCGGUGAAAUCACAGCACCUCACCAGGCCCCUGCAUUUUUCUGGUACAGAGAUCGGAGCAGAAACCACAGCCAGAAGAGGACAUCUUUCAACUGCAGCGCAAACCAGUGGGUUCAGGAACUAAGUCAUUUUCUGUUAAUUAUUGCGGUCCCCUCCCUGGAGCCUCAUAGAGUCCCCAGCAUGUAUAUGUCUUGAAAAAAAAAUUUGCUGCAGUUACAAAGGAAUAAAUGGGCAGCAAAAAGCUGUAAACAAUGA